GUUUUUGUAGUUGAAUUACAACGGUGGUUUUUCAGAUCACAGGUUUUGGUGUUAUGCCAAAUGAAAAUG
rnacentral:tRNA from 1 species